GGAACGUGUGACGGAACACGGUUCGAAGCAGCGCGGCUCCCGGGGUCAUUCCCACCCAGCCGCUGUGUCCUGUACGCGAGCUUCACGCAGCUCCUCCUCCUCCAAUUAGCAUCCCGGUGACGUACAAGUGAUUCCACAGCGCCAUCUUGUGAUUCGGUCCUGUCUCCAGGUUCCUGUGAUCUCCCUCUCCACCACCUCAUGCGAUUGAUUAGCAGGAACAAAGUAAUAAAUUCACCAGCUUGUGCCUAUUGAUUCAUCAGCAAACAAACAAGAAACAAACAAAUCCAGUUUAAACCGGAUAUUAAUAGAAACAUGGGAGAAAAAACUUCCACCUAGGAUGAUGACAUCUGGAAUUCGGAAAUGCGAGUCUGAGG